CCGCCGUGAACGCCUUGCCCGCGUGGUAGUGCUCGGGCCGCUGCUCGGCGAGGAAGCCGUGCCAGUCGUCGGCGGCGGC
rnacentral:tRNA from 1 species